UACGGUACGGCCGGCCCUUGGCAACCGGGCCUUGGGCUGCAGGCUCGGGCAAGAUUCAGCAACCAUGACCUCCUAGAUCCUGAGCGUGCUUGAUUACAUACAUGUAGAUCUACAUAGAACGCAAGACCACGAGUUGAGUUUUCGUCACUUGGACAGCUGUGAAAAGGCAGGUGUGCAAUCUUGUGAAUUGUCUACAAGUAUACAUUGUAGUUGAGUUUUCGGACCUUCCUGGCUUUCCAGCAAGUUCAGAGCUGCCGCUGGUUUCUUGCCGCAACCUUCUGCAGUUGGAUCGUCACUGGGACCGCUCUCGAACUGUGAUCAUCCCCAAUCGCAUUUGGUAGAAUCGACCACCCGGCUUCUUGGCAGGACCAAACAUAGCUACAGGGCAAGACAAUGGAGUGUUGUACGUUACUUUGCAUCUUGGCAAUUUUGGCGCUGGCAAUGGUAGAUUUUUCAAAACCACAACCAUUUCAACAAUUUCAAUUACCAAUAUUU